GCCAUCCACCAUGCAGUUAUUCAUACAACUUACAUAAAGUUGAAAGAUACGAUUAAAGGAGAGGAGGCAAAGACAAGCAUUGCCGAUGACCCAAGGUGACCUCACUGUUACUUGCUAUUUUCCUUUCAAGUCCUAAGUGUAAUGAAAAGGCCAAAGUAUAUGAACUGAACUUGAUAAAGUAAAAAAAUUAUAAUAGCCUUUGACGUUUCAAAUUGUUUCUUUAAGGGCAUUUUUAUCACUCUCAACAUGGAAUGAUGAGUUCUGCUUUUAAAGCUUUGUUCAUGUUUUCUCUGAUAAUGCUCUAGCUUUUCUUAUACAUGCAGUGUACUAAUAGGCAUUUUACUUCAAUUGUGAACCCAUUGGCAAAUUGUGCAACUUCUGACAGCACGUGCCCUGUUAGCAUCUGUAGGGCUAACACUAGGUUUUUUAAUUAAUUUAUUUAUUUUACACAGAAAUACGUAGAUUACUCAAAAAUCUAUGUCAGUGAAAGAAGCACUGUGGAGCAAAUAUGAGGCAUAUGAAGGGUUAAGAUAACAAAUCUGACUUUUUUUUACCCAUAAAUUUUUUUGUUAAUUAGUUAUAGACCUCUUGUUCACUUUUGAAAUUGGUAUUGCAAGAGCACUUUUUUUUUAAAGACAAUACACAAUCGCACACAUGCAGUAAACAAUCCUCCAGGUGACUGUAAAUUUAUCAUUGUGCUACAUGUUUGCUUCAGUAGUAGUGAUCACUACGACAGUCAAAGAAUGUUAAGGCACAGUUUUAACUGAAUAAGUUCCUUCUUUUGCUCACUCCUCUUGGCCAAUGUUGCAACUUUAAUGUCACGUCUAAACGAGUGUAAUCAGAUCCACCACAUGAUUGUUACUUCAGUUGCGGGUAGCUUUUGCACACACCUAAAGUGUAAUGUUUUGAUAUUAUACCUUUCUCCCACAAUGAUGUGCCUUGAUUACGCAUAGGCUGGAAUAAUGGUGCCAAAAAGAAUCUCUUGUA
rnacentral:lncRNA from 1 species